rnacentral:snRNA from 1 species
GCUAAGGGCGAUCUGGCUGCGACAUCUGUCACCCCAUUGAUGGCUGCGGUUGAUUUGGCUGAUCUGGCUGGCUAGGCGGGUGUCCCCUUCCUCCCUCACCGCUCCAUGUGCGUCCCUCCCCAAGCAGUUCACUGGGUCGAAGAGGACGGCCUUCCCUGAACAGAGACGGACUGGUCUUGGGCCGAGGGUAUAUACGAGGAGCUGCUCUUCCCUGCUAGAACCUCCAGACAAGCUGUCAACGUCUAUUGUCAAUAUAUUUAAACUUAUUUUCUUUUUCAUGUAUAUACGUUUUAAUAAUAGAACUACUAAUAU